GAUGAACGCUGGCGGCGUGCCUAAUACAUGCAAGUCGAGCGAACAGACGAGGAGCUUGCUCCUUUGACGUUAGCGGCGGACGGGUGAGUAACACGUGGGUAACCUACCUAUAAGACUGGGAUAACUUCGGGAAACCGGAGCUAAUACCGGAUAAUAUUUCGAUCCGCAUGGUUCGAUAGUGAAAGAUGGCUUUGCUAUCACUUAUAGAUGGACCUGCGCCGUAUUAGCUAGUUGGUAAGGUAACGGCUUACCAAGGCAACGAUACGUAGCCGACCUGAGAGGGUGAUCGGCCACACUGGAACUGAGACACGGUCCAGACUCCUACGGGAGGCAGCAGUAGGGAAUCUUCCGCAAAGGGCGAAAGCCUGACGGAGCAACGCCGCGUGAGUGAUGAAGGUCUUCGGAUCGUAAAACUCUGUUAUUAGGGAAGAACAAACGUGUAAGUAACUGUGCACGUCUUGACGGUACCUAAUCAGAAAGCCACGGCUAACUACGUG
rnacentral:rRNA from 1 species